rnacentral:misc_RNA from 1 species
CUUCCCUUUCCACUCAAAACACACCAGCCGACAGCCUUGCCCGGAAUAUAUUCGCUUUCGCGGCCACACUUUUGAAACGCCGGGCAGCCCCCUCCCCCAUGCCUUUUCCAAGUGCCGAGCCGCUUCUGGUGGUGACGGGGUCAGGUACCUACGCCGCAGGGGGGAGGGUUAAGAGCGAUGUGUCGCUGCUGGUGCCGGCGGUGGCGUCCUGGAUGACGUUGCAUCGGAGUGGCCCGCGACAGCGAGGCAGAUCUGUAUCCAUCCACAUGAUGGGUAGAGCGUCAUCGUGACCCGAGCGUCUCCCACCCGGCCCGGCCCUCACACCGCCCACUGGUGUGGGUGGGGUGCCCGAGCGCCACCGCGAGGGGGAUGCGCCCGGUGGCGGCCGGCAUGGUGGGCGCGGCUGCGCGGCGCCCCGCGAAGCGUGGGCUGUGGGCGUGGGUGGGGGCCGUGCUCUCCGAUGGCUGGGUCAGCGCGUUGCUGUGGCGCGUGUGCGUCUACGGCUGCCAUCGGCCCACGCGAGGUUGGGCCUGUGACGGAGGAGGAGGUGUAGACAGGCGUUCGACCUCGUGUUGUGUGGCGGAAAGCGGCCGUGCUUCUAAGGGGGCGGGUGCGUUGGGUGUUUGGUGUUUUUUGUUUUUUUUUGAAGUCGCCGGCAGGUGUUUUUCCGGGGAAAAAAGGGUGGGGGGCUGGGGGAUGCGGUGGCGCUUUCCAGACUGUUCCGUUUGCUUCAUGCUAGGGUGUCGUUGUUCCACAUGAAGAUGAGUUGGAGGAAUGGGGGUGCUUGUUAAAAUAUUUGGGGGUGGGUCGCGUACGGGGGGGGGGUCGGAGGCCUGGCUUCCGUAAAAGCAGUGGGCGAGAGAGUCGUUAGCCAUAUCUUGGUUUCGGUGGGUCGGCUUGCUAGAUGUUUUUUGUGCUGUUGUGUAUCUCCGUUAGCUUUUUUUUGUGGGGUUCGGGGUAUCUAGAAGUGAAUGAAGGGGACGCCGUGGUGAUAGUCGCAUAUGCUUUGUGUUUUAUUGUGACAAAGUCGCAGUGAUUCGGAUGGCCAAGGAGUUUUGUGUAACGAUGAAAAAGCUGCGGCUGGUGUAGUUUCGAGGGAAUGAUCCCUAUUGGGGGUCCUUGAAGCUCUUAGAAGCCCCUUUUCGUGCCACGAAAGGCUGCCAGGUUGUGGACGGCAGUUGCGAGUGAGUUUUUUUUUUUGUCUUGAACCUGUUUCACAGGAAAACGGAAUGGAUGCAAGUAGAGCGAGUACAGUUUCUAAUUCCUUUCUGCGCUACGGCCAGUGUGGCGGGCAUUGUCGGUGGUCUUCUGUCCUAAAGUGGUGGUGGUGGGAAAUGAUAGCGGAUGGGUGUUUGCUUGGAAGGUGGGUGGGCAGGCUUCGCAUUAAGGUCAUCGUAGUGGGCAGGUGAUGGUCAAGGUUUCCCUUCUUGCGGUGUCGUGGUGAUGAAGAGUUGCGUCGACUGUGCGAAGGGUGUUUUAUGAAUUCAAUGGAUUGGAAAAGGAGGUUCUCGGUGGAGACUGCGUUGAUGCGCGGUAAAUGAGAGAGUUAGGUGCUCGGAGAAAUUCGCUUCCAUGUGAUGCGCUGCUCGAUCGCCGGAUGCGCCGCCGCCGCAGCGCAAAUGCCGCAUUGCUGGCGUUUAUUAUCGAUAUAUUUACACUCCCUGUUUAUUGGGUGUGACAUGCUCAAUGUACGCACCGUAGGGCAAAAGAAGACUCUUGCUAGUUACUGUUGAGAUCUCUCAGGGCUGUGAGUGAACAAUCGGGGUCGAAACACCAACUCUUCUCUUGUUCGCUGCUGCUGAGGCUCUUUCAGUUGCAAAACCG